AGUGGGAUUGCUAGAUUGCAUGGUAUGUCCACUCUAUAAGAAAGUAGUAAACUAAUUUCCAAAUUGGCUGUAUUAUUUUCACAUUCCUGCCAGCAAU
rnacentral:pre_miRNA from 1 species